UUUAACCGUCCGUCUUAUUUGAAAAACUUUUACAAUUAGUAUUUUUAUUGUUAUUAGAUGAUAAAACAUGAAUAGUACUUUAUGUGUGACUAUUUUUUUUUAUUUUUUCAUAAACUUUUCAAAUAAGACGGACAGUCAAA
rfam:Oryza meridionalis cultivar OR44 (W2112) chromosome 10, whole genome shotgun sequence.